rnacentral:lncRNA from 1 species
UUUCCUACCUAUUACCGCCCGAUUCAUGGCCUCAGCCUCAUAAUGACUUGAGCAAUAACAUCACGCACCAACCAGGCAACCAUUCCAGCUUGCAUGUUGUUUCGUUUCGCGCUUUCUUGAUAGGCCAAUCGCAUUGUUUCAACCGCAUUUUUUUCUUUAUUUUCAUUCUUUCGCUCCUUCCAAGCGAACGCGCUGCGUGCAGUUUAUUAUCUGAACGAAGUCCUCGGUAACUAGUUGUGUUGUUCAAAGACACGCAGAGCCUUGGCUCUUGCUGAUUGCUACGCAAUUCCAAGCUCGCAUAUUGUUCCCGCGUUUGCUUGAUUUGAAGGCCUUCCGAGUUUUGUUCACGUGCGUAGCGCAACCCUAAAUUGAUGGCUUCGAAAAAUUACUGAAAACCAGCAUUGGAUCAGCUUCGCCUAGUUCUUGACCCAGCAGAAACGCAGUUCAGUAUAAGCCGCCGAACUUUUUUUUUCUCGGGUCGUGCAGCCAUCUCACGUGCCAUCUCACAGCUAGCCGCCAUUGACUUGAUCGGUUGGCUGACAGCGGAUUGUUUACCAAGUAAACCAAGACCGUGUCCAGCUUUUGGCAAACGUGCCGCGGAGACGCCAAGAUGUGCGAUCAGGUGAUCUGCGCACAGGUCAGCGCGGCUAGCUGCAAGUAUGGCCUGGGAAAAAACGGCUGCUGCUUCGUCUGCGCGAGGGGCCCGGGUGAGACGUGCCUGACGAAUGACAAAGAGUGUGGCAUCGGCAUGUUCUGCCACACUGGCCGACCGACCAGCAUUUGGACCAAGGCCGGAGUGUGCGUCUACUUCGACGCUUCCAGGCGUUGAUAGGAGUCAGCUAUCAUUAGCGCGGUUCAUGAAAGCCGGAAAUGCUACAUGAGAUGACAGCUACGUCGACAACGCUGACUUUGGACUUGUAUUAAAAUUACUUUGGCUUUGCUUGGUAAUAAAGUGGGCCUAGGCGCUGAGUUCGUUGCUUGACUGUGAUGGACGUUUUUCUACAAACUGAAGAGACGCCGCAGUCGGAUCGAGCUGCAUGAAGUUUUUUUUUCUACUUUCAAUUCAGCGAUCAAGAAUUUGAUAUUUCUACGAAAAGCAGCUACGUGGGCGUGUGCUAUCGUAAAGGAAGCUAUGCAUACCGGCCCCUUCCGCUCUAAUAAUUUGACGCAUUGUAUGUUGGGAAUCGCUUGACGCCGUUUUCCCCGCUUGCAUUGGUGUGCGCUGAUGUGCGCAGCAACAACAUCCACGAUAUCGGAACCUGUCAGUUCUGUUGGAAGGCAACGAUACGUACCAUUCUUUAAGAACAAGUUCCAUCUUUAUGGCUACUACUACUACUUGCUAUACUAUUACUACUGCUACGACUACGACCCCUCCCGCUACUACUUCG